rnacentral:lncRNA from 1 species
UCUCAACAGCCGCUUCCAUCCUUGCGCUUCUCAAAACUUUUUUUUUCAUCGCUUCCUUUAGAUCUCGCUUCUAUGGCGGCGAAUCUUUUAUUUAUAGCUUCUGUUUGUAAUAGCGAGUCCUCCGAUCUACACAACGGUGUUGAUUUUCCAUCGAUUUAAUCGCUUCUAUGUCUUUCAUCGGUAGAUCUGAUGCAGAUCUCAUGAAAUCUAUACUUCCUCUAAGGGUAAAUCUUAUCUCAUGUCACCGUUUGUUUUUUACUUGAUUUUGGUUUCUGAUCACGUUUCUUUUUUACUCUGGUGUUAGAUCUGCCGGUGGGAUCAUCGCGUGAGGGGUGUCUAUUAUGCAAAUCGGUUGCGUUGAAGCGCGUUGAGGCUGAAUCGAAUUCGUUUAUGGACGUGAAGCUGUGUUCUUGUGUGGGUUAAGUUAAAAUUAGGAUGUAGAAGAUGUUGAAUUGCAUCUUUUGUCAUCCGACCUUUGCCAUGUCAGGUGCGCUUGCAUGGCAGGUCAAAAACAGAUCUUAAUAAAACAAUAUGUUUUGUGGUUGGGAGGGGAGUUCGCACGGGUGUUUUUUUUUUAUCCCGGGUUCUCCUCUUCCUGUGUGCGUGUCUUGCUCUCUGCGAAAUUUCACACUAUUUAUUAUUAUGCACCGUAACUCAACAGAUAGCCAUGAAACACUUAUAUCUCAUUCGACCUGGAGCUGUAACACUUUGCGCCAUUCAUGCCCCACCCAACAAGCAUGCGCUCGUAAGUAUGUUAUUUUUGAUAAUUUAGUCACUCAGAAUAAUAUCCAAUCACACCCAUGCAUAUUAACAAUCAUACGUACAUUAAUCAUUACUUCCGUCAUGAAUUUUACAAAUUCGUUGCCCAAAUUUAUUGGGCCAACUAGUUACUUUUCAUUCUAUUAUUUGUUUCUCUUUUUUGAGUGAAUUGACAAACCCUACUGAUCUAAAAGCUUUCUAUGCUGUAGACAGUAUUUUUUUAUUUAUAUUUCUAAGUUUAUAAGUAUCUGUUUGAUUUAUAUAGUUAGAGAACAUCACAAGAUUAUGUAUCCGAAAUUUGAUGGCUGAAGGGUGAGAAUGGGAUAUCAUAUUAGCUUGUGGAGCAAUACAUUGGAAGCUAUAGCGUGGAGCAGUGUGAAUACAACAGCUCUUUGUAGACUCAUCCUAUAAAGCUUAUUGUAAAUGAAGGUAUUAAAAUGCUGUGUGUACACAUUGAUUAAUUUCCUUAACAUAUAUCGAAGUGUAUCCAUUAUUACACUCCAUGUUUUCAUUUUGUUUUGAUGUGAAUAUAUUUUUGCCGAUAAUUCACUAAUAAAAUUGAUAUUAUUGUUUAAAAUUUCUUCUCCCAUGGUAGUUUUAUCUUUUCAAAUUUUUGUUCUGUCCGCAAGUGAAAGGUUACUUGAUCGUGUUGCUAAGUAUAUGAACAGUCUGUUUGUCUUGCCAUGAGCACAUUUUGAGUUUUCAAGAUUCGAUAAUAGAUCUGUAAGCUCAAAACGGGAGAGCGCUCUUCUUCUUUUGAAGUUGAGAGGUUGGUGGUUCGAGUCCACCCAGAUUUGCUCUAAUUUGCUUUUUAUUGUAAUUUCUAUGAAAUGUUCCAAUUCUUGUCAUUUCCCUGAUGGCCUGAUCUACUUAUUAAAUCGAUCGAUCAUUAAUCUCAUUUUUGGUAGCAACAGUGCAGCGUAUUUGAUGGACAACGUUUCUUCCAAUUUAUCGCUUCUUAGUAUUCUGUCUCUUCCCGACGAAAUAUUUGGAUUGUUAAACAGGACGUGGCCUGGAGUUUUGGUACAAGAGGACGUGGCCUAGAGUUCUGGUAUUUAAGUUAUACCUACUGCUUCACUACAACACGAAAUGAGUCAAGAGUCUCAUCGACUUAUCUUUACCUUUUAUCAGGACGAGUUGCAUUCAUUAUUGGGGAUGGUUUCUGUUAUAAAAGAAUGAACCAUAAUAACGUACUCCGGCAUUCAUUAUUGUAGUAGUAGGGCUUUAUACACUAAGCGAUGGAAAAAAGUUGCUUAGAAGAGGAGCCAAUUUGCCGUGCCGAACGAGCUCCAGAUCAGAAGCUGAUCUUGAAUCACAAGCUGAAGACUUCCAUUCACCAAAGGGCUAGAAAGGUGAGAGUGUUGUCGUAUUAAUCUCAAAUCCCCUCGGUGAGUAAUUCAUUGCCAUUGGUUGUUUCAUUGUGCUAAUUGUAUCAUAGAUCACAAACCAAGAAACCGCAUCCACACUGAUGAAGAGGCUCUAUUAUCAAGAGUGUGGUCUGUAAAAAACGGAAGCAGAAGCUCUGAUGCAGAGAUAGAAUACAAAAGAGGGCGAAGAUUAAAAGAUGACAGAUACAGGAGAGCCUGAUCAAGAACAACAACAAAGCCAGCUUCUAUCUUUGUUUUUAAGGUCUUCUAAUUAUUAUUAUUUUUUUUUUUUUUUUUUUUUAAGGUCUUCUAAGUUGGCAAAAAGUAUUUAGUAUAAUUUCCGGUGAUGCUAACUCUUGAGAUAAGUAUCUAGUUUUGAGACUAAUAUCAUCAAUAUAUCAUUAGAUGGUUUCUAGCAGAAUGUGUGUCAUACAUAAUUGGACCAAUGAAGUACAUACAACAUUUCAAGACACGAGUUGAGCAUGUGCAAUCAAAGAAUACGACAACUACAGUAUAAGAGACUUAAAUCUGUGUUUGCUUACAUGGAUGCAAACACAGACGGUCCAGAAGAGCUUAAGAAGAGUUUCAACACAUUGGGAGAGAAACUUUCUGCUGAAGAAGAAGCUGAAACCGCGGUUAAACUGUUUGGGUGUCGGAUUUUGAGGAGUUUGCUCAGUUAAUCAAAGGGAAUGAUGAGUUUACAGAGGAACAGAUCAACAGCAAGAUGAUGGAAUGUAUAUCGCUGAAGGAGAAGAUUGCAUUGCUCCAAGAAGGUUGAAGACGAUGCUGGAACGAGUGAUGAUUGCAUUGUCAUGAUCAAAGCUUUUGUUCUUAACGCUGACGGAGUUUUAAGCUUUGAUGAGUUCGCUCAUAUGAUGAUGCGUUUAAGAAUCAGCCCACCAUCCACUGUUGUUGUGGCUUUAUUUGUGUAAAUAAACACGACUGUUAUUCCAUGUACCUGAAUCAUGCUCCAUUGUCAAAGCAUCUAUAAGAGGGAAAAGAAAAAAAAAACAGAACACGAACUGCUCUGUUCUGAAAUUGAAUUUCAGUUUUAGAGUUCUUAGCUAAUGGGGAUGUUGAACAGUCCUUUGAAAUUGCCUAGAGCCCUUUGUUGGGUGUUUAAAUUUUUUUGACUUAUCCAUAUCACACUGGAGAACAUUAGUCUCUUGUUUCCGCAUCACAGACCAAAGGACAUCUGUUACCAUCUUAUAGUUAAUGCCUAGCUCUGCAAACUCUCUUUAUAUGCAAGUCGAUGAGACUUGGUGAAUUGAAGAGAGUUACAAUAACUUUCCGCUCUGGAGAAGUAUAUCAUUGACCGGUUCAAACUUUCUUUCUCGACAACUAAUAAAAAAAUGUGACCUCAAAACAAUUUUAAAAACCAGAUUCAUUUUCCAAACUAAAUUAUUAAACCCUUACCAUUGCAACUGAAGUUAUUUGAUUUAGUACAAGAUCAUUUUUAUUCAAUUCAGAUGCAUCUAAACUAAAAUUAGUGUUGAUAAUUCAACAAUAACACAAUAAAAUGUUACACAUCUGCUAUCUAGUGUACAAAGUUGGAUAAAUCUAACAAUCAAGAUCCCAGGAUUAAAACCCAAAGUACUUUGCCAAAACCAAAACUGUCCCACUCUCUGGUUCUUACAGGAGCAACUAAAUGUCCAAAUCAUCAUCAGGGUCCUCAUCAGAAUCUGGAUGCUCAUCGUCUGAAUCUCUGAAAUAUAUAAUCUCUCCACCCUUACCAGAUGAAACCACAUCGGCCUGCAACUCUCCUGAAGACAAUGGCGUUGCCUCAGUCUUGCCAUCCGCAAGCAUUCUCCGCCCAUCAUAAAUCUCUGUCGAUUUUCCAUGAUCUGUAGAACAUCACAUCAAAAAUGUUUUUAUCCACAAGACCUCAGACAUUAAUGAGCUUAAAAUUAUCCUGUCUGUGAUGUACGAACUCACCUUGGUGCUCAAAAGGAAGGACAACUUUUUCUUUCUCAAAACGUUCUUUCUCAGACAACUGUAGAUUGAAAUGAACCUGAACCAAAAGAACCACUAAUCUGAGGCCACACAUCUUAACAGCAAAGAGAUAAGAAGAAACUAAGAAAGAACAAGAUAACUUGCCUUAGGUAUAAGGCUUUUGGUGGCUGCAAUAAUAGUUUCCACGGAGGAAAUGGGUGAAAAGUUUAUGCCCGUUUGAUCAACAUGAUACUCUUCAGACUGUAAGGCAAAGCGUUACAAGGGUUGUUAACUCAAAUAUGAUACUCUCAAAUAGGGUAUAGAGAAUGGAGCAAGAGAGAACACUCACCAUUACUCUGACGCGUCCCUUUCUAAGCUUAAACCGGAUAUGGAACCGUCCUUUACCAAAAUCCUGAUGAACCAAAAAGAGGUUUUCCAAGGCAUUCCUUUUCCCAUCCGAAGAUGGACAAAAAGGUUCUAAGUUGGCUUUCAUGGUGGAUAUAUAUUCAAGCGCAUUGGUAACCUUCUCUUGGUGAAGGUCAGUGUUCAACGACCAAAACAAACUGGAAACUUGUGCUACACCAAACAAAAUUCAACUUAAGAAGGAAAUAAAGCUAACAAAAUGGUGAGUGCUCAGGUUCAGGUAGCAAAGAAUGUAAAUAUACCGUGGCUUCGAAGAUCUGUUAAAAGACCAGAAACUAAUGGCAUGGAUGAAUGUCUUAGCAGCUCAUUCACCUGAUUCAACCAAAUAUAUAUAUAUAUAUAUAUAUAUAUAUCAUCAUUAAUCUCAUAUCUAAAACUCCAAAGAGAGGAUUUGCUUACCGAAUCAAUGGCAACAGAGAAACGUGUCUUCCCAUCUCCAACCAUCUCUACAGCAAAAGGAAUCAACUUUAAUCUCAAAUUGAAACAAAAUGAUGCAAAGAAGUAAUAGAACUACCUCUUCCAGCUUCAAUGAUUGAAGAGAAAAGCCUCUUCAAGUCACUAACACACUUGUGUAACUUAAUUAAACUUGAACCUUCAGUAAUAACACCAGGGGAAGGCUGAUCAAUCCAGCCUAGUGGAUCAGUGUAGCAAUCCAAAACACGAAUCCUUCAAAAUCCAAAAAACCAAUCAGUACACUCUUAGAGUAUCUAAAAGAAAAUCAAAUCAAACUCACCAUUUAGAGGAUGAAGAGACAAAGAUUCCUUUUUGCUUCAAGAACUGCAAAUAGAAGGAAGGGCUCCGAGAGAAUGUGACCAGCACGAGGCCUCUGCACAGCAACGAAGAUUUCAUGAAAACACGACAGUGAAGCAAAAAGAGAUUGAAUUUUAGUGUUUCGAGGAUGUACUCGGACUUGGAUUUUCCGGCCAGGAUUGAUGAAGAUAGAUUCGCGAGGAGAUAGCAGGAGACGUCGAGGGCGAAAGGGGAAGCUACAGUUUCCUCUAUGGUGAGAGCUGGCGCGAGCUCGCCUUCUUCGCCUCCGUCUCUUAGCUUUCUGAAAAUCGAAUCCGCCAUUGCUGAGAAAAAGAAAAGCUUGGAACUUCAAAAGGUGAUGAGAAGGGCGGCGAGGGAGCAAGAUUACAACUUAAAAGGCUUUUUGGGCUUUAUGACUUAGCCCAAAUGGGCUUCAUAAGUAUUCGAUGUCAAGCAAACAGCGUGUCGUCUCGUUCUUAACGGCUAAAAACGUUAACCGUUUUAUCCGUCUUUUAGGAUUUAUAAAAUAGCCCAAUGGGCUUCUUCUUAAGCACUCAAUGUCAAACAAAACAGCGUGUCGUUUCUUCACGCCUAAAAAACAUCAACCAUUUUAUCUGCUUCUCAACAAAAUAAAAAGAAGGUUUUAAGGCCGGAGGAGUUGGGGAGUGAUCUGGAUCCGCCGGCGAACAAGUAGCACCGUCGCAAUAUCCUCCUUUCAUUUCGCCGGAAUCAAGGUACAUAUUGUUCUUCUAUAUGGAUCCCUCGCUAUUUUCUUCUCCUUGCAAUGAACCAUUUGCAAAUCUUUUGUGCUUCUUUCUCAUUUUGAUUUCGAUAUCGAUUAGAUUGGGGGAGAAGUAGAUGUGUUGUUUUGAAUUGGGUUAAUUGGAUUUGUUUUGCAUUUGUACUCUUCUCGUAAUAUUGCACGGAAAGUGUUCGACGUAUUUACUUGUUAACUCAUCACUUCCUUAGACAUGUUUAGUCAACUUUGAUUCUUUGUGUGAUUGAGAACUAGAGAGACGAAGGCUGCUGCCUUUCUGUGUCUAUGAGAUUUGAUCUAAGCACCCUUUUGUUUUCUAAUUGUAAAACCCUUUUUUCUUACAAAAAACUUGGCGAUUCAGACAAGUUAAAACAUUUUCUCUGCUUUAGACAGGUACUUCUUGUGGCGAGCAUUCUUUGUAGGAAAAAAAAACGGGAAGAUGGAAGCAAAGUUCUUUCGGUUCUUGAAGAUUGUUGGAGUUGGAUACAAAGCCAGAGCUGAGGAAGCAGGGCGUUUCUUAUACCUCAAACUGGGUUACAGUCACGAAGUUGAACUCGCGGUUCCUCCGGCUGUUCGUGUCUUCUGUUUCAAGAACAAUGUGGUUUGCUGCACUGGAAUCGACAAGGACAGGGUGCAUCAGUUUGCUGCGACAGUUAGGAGUUGCAAACCUCCUGAAGUUUAUAAGGGCAAAGGCAUCAUGUACAUCGACGAAGUUGUUAAGAAGAAGGUUGGAAAGAAGUCGAAAUGAUCUUUCCUUUCCUUUUUCUAUGCUUCUUACCAUUCUCCUUUACGGAGAACUUUGGUGAUAGAUUUGGGAUUUGCUUAUCAGUAAUAAGUUGUACUUGGAUGUAUGAAACAUCAUUUUGUUGUUAAGUCACUUUGAAUCAAACAAGAUUAGAAGAUUUUGUCUUCAAACGUAAAUGUAUGUUUGUAGAAUCAUUUGGUACAAUUAAAUCCGAAAGACAAGCUAAUAUGGGGAGACAUGAAGUCUCUUGAGUAGAAUCAAGACAGUGGUAAUAAAUAGACAGGUUCUAUAUGUGGUGUGUCUGGAAAAGUGAAUCUUCGGUACUUGAGGAGCACAAAAAUUAAUCAAGCAUGUAAAUUCUGGAGGCAAUGUCUUGAACCAACCAAUCGAAUCCUUCCAACAAUCCUUCACCUGUGUAUGCGCUGCAACCCACGAUUUUCCAGUGCCUGCUCUUAUCCAUGGACUCUAAGUUUAGCACCUGCACAAGCAAGAAGAUGAAACUCUGUUUAGCACAAAGUACAACACAAACAUAUCUCACUUCACCCACUAAUCCUCAUUGAAACUAAGUAAAGUACCUCUUUAGAUUCAAGGCUCAUAUGACUGAGAUUGAUUUUUUUCAUUUAUUCUUUUGUUUUUUACACAAAUCAAAAAUAGAAGCACUUGAUGUAAAAAACUUUUUUCUCUGAAUAAAUUUUACAUUCAUUAGAAAAAAGACAUAAGAGUUUCAAAACACUUACUUUGCCAAUCUCUUCAGGUGUAAGAGCACCUUGAAUAUCCUGCUUGUUUGCUAGUAUCAACAAAGAUGACCCAGCAAGCCUCUGCCCAUUAAAACCACCAAAAGUCAGUAUCCAAAACUCAUUCAACCAUUUGUAUAUAGAUCAUCAUCAUCACAAACAGCAACCAAGCAUCACAUUGCAAAGUUUGAUACCUCUUCCUUCAAGAGAUUGUCAAGCUCCAUCUUGCAAUCAUCAAGCCUCCUAAGAUCAGAGCUAUCCACAACCCAAACCAACCCAUCAGUCUGCUCAAAGUAGUUCCUCCAGUAAGAUCUUAUAGUCUUUUGCCCACCCACAUCCCAUAUAUUCAGCGUAUACCUACAAACACAUUGCCCAUAACAUGUUUGAUGAUCUAUUCCUCAACCAAGAACAUGAAAACUACAAGCAGUUGUUACUUUUGGUAAAUAAUGGUUUUGAUGUUGAAUCCAAGAGUUGGACUGAUCACGCUUGUGUCUUCUCCGUUCAUCUUCAGAACUAUCGUCGUCUUCCCAGAGUUAUCGAGUCCACUACAAACACACACAGCACCAGAUCAUCAAACUAGAGAAAUGUUUAUAUAUAGAUCAGCGGAAGAGUUUACAAGAUUGUGAAUGUGACAUACACCAUGAGAAUACGCAUCUCCUUCUCCUUCUUCUUGAUUUUCCGAAUGAUGCUUAACAGUCCCAUUUUCUGUUAACUCGAAUCACACAACAGAGCUUGAAAGACUCUCAACCAGUCACGCCGAGGCUAUCGUCGACGUUUUUCUUCCACCGGCGACCUCCGACGGAUAAGAAAAUUUGCAACGAACUGUAUGGGCCCUUCUUCUUAUAAAAUAAGGCCCAUUAAUAAUAAGAAUAGGCCUUAUUCUACACGAGGAGUAAAACUGGACGGUAAGUUAUCUAGAAAGUCAACCGGUCAAACUCCAUGAUAAAGAAAACGAAUUUAAACGAAAAAAGGAAAAGAUAACCGAACCCAAUCGGAUCUUGAACCUUUUGAGGGAUCUUUUGCUUUGUUUUGUUGUUGUUGGUUAUUUGGCUGACAUUCUCUUUGUUUUUCCUUCAUUUUUGUUGUUUCAAUGUUGGAUAAGGUAUCAUACAGGACGGAACGAUCACUUUUAAAAAUCGGUGUUGGUAUAUUAGAUCAUUAAAUUACCCAGUUAAAGGCUUAUAUAAUUUUGGAUGCAUGUAUAACGAAGAAGACUCAAAGGAAGUUAAAAAAACUACUGAGAAAUUUGAUUCAGACAAUCGUCUGUCUAUCAAUUUUUUUUUGAUUAAUAAUGUAGAUUGUUUGUUUCAAAUUUUUAUAUAUUUAUUUAUUAGUUUCAAACCCGAUUUUUUAUUUUGAUCUAUAAUGAGUUUUUUUUUAACUGAAUAGAAUUCCUCCUAAAUGUUUUUAACCUUGAUAGAAAGCCUAACAAUUUCGUUUAUGUUGAUCACUUUCAGCUGAAUUACAUCCAAAACAAAUCUUGAAUGGAAGCCAAUGAAACAUGUCAUUCGGGGCCGGAGAAAACUAUGUUUUAUGGGAUCAAUAAUAAUAGAAAUUUUUCGUAAAAAAAAACAAAAAUAAUUCAUGUAAGUCUACUAGUAACAUCGGUUGCUAGUGUAUUUACAGACUUGGGUUCACAAGUCCACAACUGUGUUUUAAUAUUUUUAAGAUUUUUAGAAACAAAAAGCAGAAAUUUUAAUUUUGACUUCUAGGCCAAUAUCCGUUUUGGCUUUGAUUAAUGAAUAUCAUUUUUAUUGGUACUAGAUCCUUUCUCCGCGCUACGCGCGGAAAAUAUAUUUAAAUUUGUUACAUUUAUCAUUUUUAUUUGUAUGUGAAUUUUUGUAUAUUAAAUUAUAUAUAACUAAUUUUUAAAUUUGAUUUUUUUUAUAUUUUUAGUUUGAAGUAAGUAUUUCUAUUAUAUGUAAUACAAUUAACUAACAAAAUAUGAUGAAUCAAGUCCGAGAUUUUAGAGUUAUGUAAAAAAAUAUAUAAUUAUGUAUAGAACAUAAAUUAUCUUAGUUUAAAAGAUCGGAAUCUCAUCUCGAAUAAAUUCACGCAAAGAAAAAGUACUCCAAUAACCUACUUAAAAUAUAAAACCCCCUUUUAAAAAAAAACGUACUUAAUAAUAUUUUUUUACGUGUAAUAGUUGAAAACUGAUAAUUGAAUGUCGAUCUAGAAUAUUAUUUUAAUAUAUCUAAUGGUAAAAUGUUAAUUGUAAUAAACAAAUUUUGAAUUUUGUAAUAUUACAUGAAUUAGAAGUCUUUAAAAUCUAAAAUCUAUUUUAUUAACAUAAUAUAUUUUUAUUCAUUUAUUAUUUUGACGUUACAAAAUAUUUGCUUUAGUUUUAUUUGUAUAUUAAUUUUUUAAUAAUUUAGUUUCUUAAGUAAUUUUAAAAUUAUCAAGAAUGUAAUAUAUGUAAAAUUAUUUAUUUAAAUAUAUCCAAAUAUGAUGUCUCUUUUUUAUGUGUGUUUGCUUCUCUAAUUUUACUUGUUUUAGUUAAGUAUUUUGUUAAUAUUUAUUUUCAUAUUAAAGAUUUAUUUUUAUAUUAUAUGUGAAUCAUUAUUCGGUAGUUACUCUUAUUUAUUUUUCAUGACAUCCGUCAAUUGACUUUUUAAAAAUAUUUAAAUUUAGUUUCGUUGAGUCAUGUUAAAUUUGGUAAUAAGGUUUUUAUAAUGGUUUAAUAUGGUUAAGCUCUAUUUUUUCUUAUUUUCACGGGUCAAAAUUUUAAUAUAAUUUAUAUGCUUUUUCAAAUUAUUUUAUAUUGCGUCUCUCUUGUUUUCGUGUUGUACUAAUGCUAGAUUAUUUUAAAAAAAAGUGAAAUAAAAAUUUUCUAACUUUAGCAAUCCCUUGCUUAAUGUGCUACUACUUUCGAUUUUCUAAUUCCCAGAUUUGUAACUUGAGUGAGGAGAAAGACUUGUGGUUGUUAUGGCUUGCAAACGUAUAAAACAAAAUAUUUAAAAAACAAAAAAUUAAAGACUCAUUCCAAUAAUGCCCUUUUAGAAGAAAAAAAGAUUCAUUUCAAUAUGUUAGGAAAUUAUUUGUGAUUUUUUUUAUUGGUGGGUUAUAUAAAUAACCAAAUUUUAAAGUCUGUUCUUAGUUUUAGAUUGUUUUUCUAUAUGAAUUUCAGUGGUAUUUUUUUGGUGUCAUACAAACAACUAACUUUUUCUAUCUUCUUUUUCUAUAUGAAAAUCAAAAACCCUGUCAACAAAUUGAUGUUUUUAUUUUGUUUUUUCCAGAGUUGAUUAAUUAUUAAGAUCUCAUUCUUACAGCAGAGAAUGAGGAUCCUAAACAAUCACUUAGAAAAAGAGAUGAGUUUUAAAUCAAGGUGGUAUUAGUGUUAUCCUAAACAAAGACUUCACCAAACCCACAUAUGAUUGAUUGCAUAACCCUCAUUAUCAACAAAGUGAUAGUAAAGAAAAAUAAUGUUAAUACAUGAAUAAUAAACAAAGCUUUAGUGAGUCUGAAAGUUAAGCACUUAGCGAGUCAUUUCUUUUUCUUACUACAGCAUGGCAAUAGCUGACUCCUAAUUUAAACUGAUGGAAACUUUCUUGCCUAACAAAAUUCCAAAAAGAUGAGUAGAAAAUUUUGAGUUUCAUAAUUAUUAAUUAAAAAAGUUACUACAAAUGAUAAAUAAAAUAGACAACAUAUCUGAUUUGUUUCCCAUGCGAGCUACAACAUAUACAAUAUCUAUCUACGUAUACUCCCAUUUCUUUAUGCUUAAACUACAUUACAAAGCAUUCAACUCAGCUCUGAAAAUGACAGUUAUGAGAAAAACUAUGGUAAAGUUAGACCAUUGGUUCACCUGAUCGAUACAGUAUUCUGCGAUCACAUCAUUACAGCCGGCGUCUUCUAGAAUCGACACUGAAGAUUUUUUCACCGGGAUUAGAGUUUGACAAAAGGUUUUGACAGACACAGAAACAUAUAUCAUUGACAAAGAACAAACCAUCACAUAUGCUUGAACGUCAUGGAAUGUACUAUGAAAACUCAGGAGAUGGAGCUUACGGCCUCCUACAGUAGUCGCUGAUGGGCACUUUUCCAACUGGUUUGAGCUAUUUGAAGAAAGUCCUGAACAAACUACCAACUGGUUUGUACUGUCUCGAGUUAAGGAUUCACUGAUAAACUACCAACAGGAGAAAUGGAGAUAAAGCUUAGAUACUUAAAUGUGCAGGGUGGUGUCACAUCUGUGAAUGGCGUCUAGGGUAAUGUUUUGUGGUGCAAGACGCUUCUCCUGCAAAAGAAAACAAACAACUCUUCUUUCAGUUGCAACACAAAACUCAUCUCACGUUUGUUACACGUCUUUAUUAUCUUUAACACUUACAAUUUCAGACAGCAGUUGUGACUCCGUGAACUAAAUCAGUUCCAAACAUUCACAAAGCUUGAAGAUUCUUGCUUAGGAGGUUUAAGAUUCCUUUCACUUUUUUCUCUCGCUUCCUCUUCCUCCUUAGAUACCUCUCUGUUUCGCCGUUGAACGACUCCUGUCACUUUAGCUUCCUACUCCACUCAUCGGAAAGAACCAGUAACUAAUACAAAAAGAUAACGAUAACUACCCAAACUCAGUGAAAUAUCUUCUCAAAGCUAAAACAAAACACACACACACACACACACGAUGUAAGAGCUUAUCCACUGAAACUUUAGAAACUUUGAAGAAUGGAGAUAGUAACUUACAUGAAAACGCCAGCAGAAUAGAAGGGAUUGAUUGAUCAACUUGAACAUAGGAGCUUCAGACCGAAGCUUGUUGUUAGUUUCCGGAUCGAAGAGAACCAUGAUGUUCACUUAUGUCGAAUCAAGAAAUGAAAAGAGCAAAGUAAGCUUAAUAAAAUCUGAUUCAAGGGAAGAUAAUAUUUGAUAGGAGAUUACCUUCUUAUGUGUUCCACCUCCAGAUUUGUUGGGGUUUAGAGGAUGGUAGUGGGGCCUUUUAUUUCUUUGGUGUCUUGAAUCAGCAAGAAUUAUCAUCAAGAGCUUUCUUCAUAUACUUUCUCUUCAAAAUGGCUUCGAGUAAACUUUUCUCUGAAGAGCAUAUACUUUGCCUAAACCAAGUCUUUUGCUUUUAUCAUUCCUUGGGCAGUUUCACCUUUAACCAAGAGCUCAAAUAAUAUCUAAAAAAAAUAAUAGCAAUGAUCCAAAACGAAAAAGAUGAUAUCAAUCUUUAGAAGCAAGGUAAACACCAUUGACUGAAGGGUCUCUCAUUGUUAAAAAAAGCAAUAUCACUCAUUAGCAAAUUUGUCGGGAAAUUUAAUUCAGCACCCUUGCCAAUAACUGCAGCAAAAUAGAUGUAAGCCAUUGAUUCCAAAAAUAUUUUGCACGUCUUGGUAUGAAUCAUAAUUAUAUAUAUCCACACAACCCUUAUUUAAAGUCACAUUUCUUUUGCUCUCACUGGUAGUUUCCUAACCAAACUCUUGAGCAUAUGGGACUUACAUUGGCAUCAUUUGCGAGGAAGAACACAUGUUAAGUGCCUACACCCAUGGCCUCGUACGUCCUGCCCUUUUCUUCAGGAAGCUCCAGUAAAGAAGCUCGGAUGCUAUAAUUGGGCGAGUAUUACUUCUGGAAGAAAUGGAUAUGAAAAUUAUUGGUAAUCAGUGAGCUGUUUUUCCUCAUUAUUAUUGUUUUCUGAAGUCCUAUACUCAAGCUAGUUGAUAGGUGAUAUAAUUGAAAAAAAAACAGAUAUAGAUAUUGCGACAUUAGAAAAGAUUAUUUAACUUGCUACCUGAGUUUCUUCUUCCCAAGAUCUGGUCGGCUGGCCCUGGUAAUUUUCACCUGUGAAACGUCAAAUCAUCAACCAAAUAUAGUACAAUGAAAAAAGGAUGAGCUGAUCAUAUCUCUUCACAGGUAAAACUCAGAAUAUACAAACGACAAAGAAAGAAAGAAACUUGUUGACCUUGGUGUUAAACUUGGUUUGCAAAAUUGCAGGACUGAGAUAUUAACAACUCAGCGGGCACCUUCUUCCAUAUUCACAUUACUGACUACCAAAUACCCUGCAAUCCAUUGCAUCUCACUGGCAUAUCCAGUGGCAUCGAGCCCACUUUUCUUAUGAAGUCAGAUAUAAUAUGGAAUAGGGUAAUUCCGGCUUUGGAAAAAAAUCAUGUAAAAGAUCCACUCAAUAGCAAGCCUGAUAGAACCUGAAGCAAGGAAACCAAUCCAAUGAUCUCACACUGAGAUCAAUCAAAAUCUACCCACACAAAAACAUCAUAACCAAUCUAAGAAUAGGCUAACAAUGGACUCAACUUACAUCAGACUCUCUUCAAUAUCAGCUUCCAUGUGUUUAGUGAUCAUCUUGAGCUUCCUCAUAAGCGCUUAUUAUAGAGUUUUGAAGCUUCUGUCCACUGGAAGCAGCAGUGUACCGUUGAUUGCGCAGAUGAUGUCUCCUGCAAGAACAUUAAAACGAUGUCACUUUCCACCAACCAAAAUCGAAAAAGGUGAGAUCUUUGUAGAAAGUGAGAGAGAGACUAAAGAUUGGUGUGUUUUUGAUACUAAGGUGAGGCAAAGGAUCAGAGGAGGAGACAUGAAUCAGAGCAAGCGGAGCUCCCCUAACUCUGAGAAGAAGCUUGUCUCCUGGUGAUAAUCAGCAUCACCAAAUCGAUCGAUUCAAGCCACUGUUUAGAGUAAUAUAAGUAAGUACCUGUGAGAAAACACGAAUCACGUUAGCAAAGUAAGUCGCUAGAACCAGAUCGACAUGACGUUUGUUGGUCCCCAGCAACAACAUAGGGAUGCUACAAUGACUAUACCUCCAACCACUCCAAACAGUUUCUGCCUAAACCCAAACUAUUUGCUGAGAAAAUCAAUGUAUUAAACCUAAAAACACCACCAAAAAAAGACUCAAACUUUGACUUGCAAUUAUAUACACAGAACAUAAGGCUACCACCUUUACCUCUGUUUGGUUCGAACUGUUCUUGUCCACGUCAAUUUUGCGACGCGACGGCGGAAGAUUCCUCCUCGGAGGAUCCAGCGACACCGCAUCCGUCGAGAACCCUACUCCUUUACCGCACCAAACAUCAGAAACCGUGGAUUCUAGCCUUUCGCAUCUUCACGGAGGCCAUGGCGAAGAAGAACGGCGGAGAUCCGAACUUCAAAUACGGUUGGUACAUGGUUAGGUGAUGAAAUUAAAACAAACAAUUGGAUUGAUCUAUUGUUGGUGACUUUGACAUAUAUAAUCAUGAAAGAUGGAGGAAGUACGGGAGAUGAGAAGACAAUCUCGACUGAAGAAACGGGAAACGUUUUUGUAUGAGGAGGAAAGAUGAGAAGACGGUAGAAAUAGAGACAAAGAACAACAUGAAAGAGAAGGGAUUCAUCGUUUGGUUUCUCAGCUUCUCAGAUUAGGUUUCGUGGGCUAGACAAAUCAAACAAAACAGAUCAAAAAUAUAAAGAAAAACCCAACAAUACCCAAGAUCUGUGCUGAUGUGGCAAAAAGCAAACUUUCUAUUGGUCGAUUAUUUAGUCCAACGUGGAUAGCUUCUCUGUUGAUUAGAUUCAGCUUUUAGUAUUGUAUUGAUACCAAGAUAUAAACCAUCCUUAGAAUUAACAUAUCUUUAUAUAUAUGUCAGCAUUUGUUGUUGUUUUUUGUUAAUCGCAAACGCAAAUCGCAAAGGCAAAUGAUUUUUUCUAUUUAUUUGCAUAUAUAUAUAUAUAUAUAUAUAUAUAUAUAUAUAGUUUACGAAAAGGUGACAAUCUACAUGACUGAAUAUUUUUAUAUUUUUGCGUAGUAGUUACUUAUUUGGCUAUUUUAAAAUUUGUAGUUCACUAAAAGAAACAUACGGAAAUCCCGAGAAAACCCAAGGAAUUAUCAGUUGGAAAUGCAUAUGGGAAAGGCAUCUGAAAUUUCUGAUGGAAAAUAUUUCCAUGGGAAAUCAUCAAAAGAAACUAAUCUCAGUAAAUUUCUGACAAAGUUUCGAGGAAAAAAUCUAUGUGUUAUUUACUGCUGUAAUUUCUGAUAGAUUUUUGACGAAACAUUUAAUUUGUCAUGAUGGAUUCUCAAUGGAUUUUAUAAUUUUUAUAGAGCUGUUUGAUAAGUUCCAAAUUCCCGAGGAUUUUUUUUGUUAUAUCGGGAAUCUGUCGAAAAUUACUCAAAUUUAUCUACAAAUACUUUUUUCCUCCCCAUUCAUUCACUUGUCAAAACAAAGCACAAAAAUCAUGUUUUCUCCUAUUUUUUUUUUUGUAAGGAUAAAUCUUAUAUGGAUUUGAAUAAAAACUUACUUACAGAUGAAUAUGCACAAGGUAUUAGCGAAUUCAUUGCAUUAACUCAACGGUAACCAGAAGAAACAACAACCGGUAAGUUGAAAUUAGAAAUGUUCAUGCUCUACUUGUAAGAAUAAUAAACAUAUUAAGAAUGCAGAAGUUUGGAAGGAUAUGUUUUUUUUUAAGUGGUUUGUGCCGGAUUACAAGAUUUGGUAACUUUAUAGAAAAUUAUCAGAUUAUGGUAGUACUAACAAAUUUCAUACUUCAGAUUGGUUAAAUGAACCUAGCACGGAUGUAUAUUUUGGUGUAAGUAUUUUUGAGAUAGAAAAUGGUGCAUUGAAGGAAAAUUUCUCGUCAACUUUAGAAGAAGGAGAUAGACGAGAAGAACCAAUUUAGAAGUUAUGAGGUUUUUUAUGUGUUAGAUGCAGCUACGCAUUCAUUGUACAAAAGAUGUAGAUAUGACCAUUAACCUUUAUCAUAUACAAGUAGAUUCAUGGUGAUAAAGACAUUAUAAUUUGGUUUAGGAAUGCGUGGAUGCAAUUUUUGAUUUUAUGAGAGAUAUUCUACCCGGGAAUAAUCGUGCACAUGGUUUAUACUUCGAAGUUUAGAAACUGGUAGCUGGUGUUAGUUUACUGUAUCAAGUGAUCAAAGUAUGCAUUGAUAAUUGAUUGAUUUACAUGAGAGCAGAUGAGGCCAGAAGAGAUGUAAAUUUUAUCAACAACUUCGUAUCAUGAGACAAGUGAAAGAGUUCCAGUUCCAUAUAAAUGAAUGUGCUAUUUUAUGUUGACAUCAAGGUUGAAAAGACUAUAUCAAUUAAAACAAACUAUAUGACCAAUGACAUGGCAUGCAGAGCAUUCAACAUAUUGUUAGAUUACACAUCCUUUAGAUGCUGAAGCUUAGAUAAAUUUCUAAUCAAAAUAUCCAUAAUGUGUUUAUGAGAGAAGAAAUGUCUAUCGCAGACUAUGUAUUGCUAGUUUCCGUGUGAAAAGCAAAAAAGGCAGUUUUCAUUGUGGCCAGUAAUUGUGACAACUUAUAAUAUACCACCAGAUUUGUACAUUCAACAAAAGUUUUUGUUCUUCUCCAUUUUUGUUUCUAUGCUAUAGCAUCUUAAGAGACCACUUGAUGGUUUUUUUCAGAUAGCCAUUGGUAUAUGAGUUAGAAUUACUAUGGAAGCACGUUUUUCUUACAUUCGAUGUUUCGUGCGAAGAAACUUUUCAUAUGCGAACAGUAUUUAUGUGGACAAUAUAUGAUUUUCCAUCAUAUGAUAUGUUAUAUGGAUGGACAUUGCAUAGAAGGAUAUCAUGUAUUUAUUUUCAAAAUAGCACAUAUUAUUUCCAAUUUCUGAUAAUCAUUUAUGCAAAUUUUUUCAUUGGAAAUUCGUCAAAAAUCGCCUGUCGAAAAUUUAUCAAGAUGUCUCGACAAAAAAAAUUAUAAAUGGUGGCCAUACAAAAAAAAUAAGCGAAAGAAGAGGAGGACCACAAAAUUAUGAUUUUACCUUUACUUAAUACGAAUAUAAAAUGAAUGAAUAGAGACUCAAACUGGUUAUUUACUUGUUUACAAUGCAACAUAUAUAUACUAUUAAAAGGGAAACAUUUUGAAAAAAAUCUACUUAUGCAAGGUUGUUAAACCUAUUUAUUUUCAGCCUAACCUUUUAUAUGCAACCAAAAUGCAUAAUUUAUAUUACCCUUCCACGGCAUAAUUUUCAGCACCCACCGGUUUAUAUCAACCAAAAAUUAAGUAUAAACAAUUACUUUUAUCAAAAUUAUGCGAUUGAUAUUUCAUACACACAUUUUAUCAAACGAGAUAAAAUGUUCCAAUACAAAAGGGCCAUAUCUCCAUAUCAUAUAUGUCUCAUCCCCCUCUAUUAAAGCAUCAAGUUCUUUGCAGAAAGGCAUCAAUGUGAUGUUUAAUAUUUUUUUUAUCAAAUAUUUUUUCCAUACACAUGUUAUUCAAUGAGAUCAAAUGAUUUUCAGCGGGGGCAUGUAUAAAGCAAUCUUAUAUUUCAUCUCGUCCAUUAGAGCAUCAAGUUCUUAAGAUCAAAACAAUUUUAGAAAGAUUUACGCCAUGAGUCACUUUUGUAGUUUACAAUUACACUAUAGGUCACUUGUCACUACUCACACACUUUUUUCUAACUAAAUCUACUUUUCACUCACUAACUAAAAAAGCUAAUAUUUUGAUAUCCAUUAUGCUAACUAAAAUAAAAUGGGUCCCAAAGAACUUUCUUCUUCGUCUUCUUCCUCCCAAAUUUAAUUUAUUUUUGUUAAAUCAAAUCUGAUUCUUCAAAAAAUUUGUUUAAAAAUCUUGGAUUUAAUUAUUAUUUCUACGAUUUGAUUUAUCUUUUGAGAUAUGUAAAGUUGCAUCUCUAAUGGUGGUGUAAUUGUGAUAUAUACCACGACGACGGCAGAGAUCCGUUCAAGCUUCAACCAUGGCGUCUUUGUUUUCUCGUGUCGCCGUGCUUUGUUAUUGCUCCGAAAUAGCCAGAGAAACUCAUGCAAGCUUGAUAUCCAACUCACUGUCGUCUUCCUCAUGGUGUCACACCCAUAACUCCGUCGCGUUCUCACUUGAAGUCAAUCCUCCGCAUCGUGUUCCAGUUUCUUCUUUCUAGGCGUGAUUCAUCAUCGCCAUGACCUCCGUUCCUCUCUGUCAUGCCCUUCAACCAUCAUGAAAAGCUCGAGAAAGACAAUGGCUACCUUUAGUGUUUUUGCACAUCUGGUCCCUUAAUUUUUAUAUUAUUUGAUUUUAACCUCAAUGCUUUUUAGAGAUGCAAAUUAACCCCAAUACUUGAAUCACUUAUUUUUCACAUGAAUCCCACCCACUCGUGUUUAUGAUAGACGAUUUUAGUUUGUAUUAGACUAUAUUGGCUGUUCAAAUUUUCAAAUGAAUGAUAAACUCUAUUCGGUGUACAAAUGAACCAGUGUACAUAGGAGUUUUUGUGAAAUGUUGUACAUGUGGAUAGUGAAACAUGUGUACACGUUGACGAUAUAAGCCAUUGAAUCGUUUUUUUGUGAAAUGUUGUACAUGUUUCUCGUUGUACAAAUGAACUAGUGUACAUGUUAAUAGUAUAAUAUUUUUGGCUUUGAUUAAAAAGCGAUUUCACAAUUUUUACUACAAUUUUUAUAGUGGAAUGUUUUAUCUAUCCAUUUAAUAAUUAAAGUGACAUAAUUAGUUGCAAAAUAAAUAUCUGUUAAUUUAACCCAAUAAAAAAAAUAAUGUUACAGUUUUAGCAUUUUAAAUUAAGAAGUAGAGGUAAAAACAAAUUUGUGGGAAAAUAUGAUUUUAGCGGUUUGACGGAAAAUUUGCAUUGGGGUUUCAAAAAAAAACACGCAUCGGGAUUUUAAAGGGUAAACAUGAUUUCAUGGUAUAUUUUUUUAUUAAUAUAUGAUGUACACAUGUACAUCUGUAAUUGUUGUACAAUGUGAAAAUGUGUACACGUGUAUUUACGUACACAAAUAUAUUAUCUAAUUAGACUAAUUAACAUCUAACUUCUUGAUUGUUUAUCCCAGCUCCUCCUAAUAAAUGGCCCUUCAUUUUUUAUUUCUGCUCAUAUUAACUGAUGUACAUGUGUAUCGAUGUACAUAAGAAUGGAAACAAAUUGUGUACAUAGUAUUAUAUACAUCAUAUGUGUGGAUACUGUAUACAUAUUACAUUUUAUAAUAAUUAAAUUUCCUUUUUAAAUCGAUAGUUUCGCUAACAAAAACUUCCCAAAAUUUUGAAAACAAAAAUUAAAACCAUGACAUUUUUUACCCCGGUGUACAUGAGAUUUUUUGUGAAAUGAUGGACAUUGCAAAUUGUAAAUGUAUCAAAAAAACUUAUUAGGUGUACAUGUGGAUUCUUGCACAUGUAUUUAAAACUUAUAUGGGGCUUAGUUUACAUUGCACAAUUAAAAGCUUUGGGGCUAAUUGUAAAGAAACUUGAAUAAAUUAGCAGUUUGAGACAAAUUUGAGAAUUAACAAGAAUGGAAAGACCAGAGGUGCAAAUAAUAUAAAUCUGCCAUUGUUGCUAAAAUCAAGCUUUGUCUUUGAUCUGCGACUAAAGCCUUGACGAUUCCGGCGACCAUGACUCCGGUCCCGAUCAUGACGACCACAACAAGGAUGAGAUGACUGUUUCUUGAGGCGGAUUGUAAUGGAGCUCUCCGGCUACUCCGUCACUUUUUCUCUCUGAUCUGUGACUGAAGCCACGACAAUUCCGGUGGACACACUCCAGUCCCGACCACGUGGAGAAAGAGAUGACUGCUCCGUCACUCAGAUUUGAGAAUUGAAGGUUGAUGAAGAUUACGAGGAGAAGGUGAUAGUUGGUGAAGUGAUGAGUAGAGGAUUAAAUAAUAUAGUGGGUCCUACUGGUUUUAUCCUAGUUAUGUUGUAGUUAGAAAAGAAAGAAAGUAGUUAAAGAAAGUGUCUAAGUAGCAUAAAAUGAUCUUGAAUGUAACAAAAAUUCAAAAAGUGACCUUGAAUGUAAAUCACUCACAAUUUUAUACAUUCAUUUUAUAUGUCAAAACAAUUUUAUACAUUCAUUUCUUUAUCAUCUUAUUCGAUUCAUAUUAAAAACUUAGUUAUAAGAAUUAAGAUUGUGUUUUUCGUUACAUUUGUUGAAUUACAAAUACAAAACCAAACCCUGCAACAGAAAUAAUAAACACACAGUUUAUACUUUAAUAUUGAGACUUUUUUGGAAUCCUAAAUAUAUGCAUGUUUUUAGAUUGUGUAUUAUACACGAUUUUGAAAAUUAUUGAUGUUGAUAUAUUUUUAUCUUAAUAGCUUUACAUAACUAUCGUCAAAUUUUAUAAAAAAUGAUAUCUAAAGAUUCUUUUAAGAUCUCUUAUUAGUAACAACCAAAAUGUUUAAAAAUUUAUACUCUAAUUUUCGAUGGCCUAUACCAUCUCACCCCUAAUAUUAUAAAUAGACCUUCAUUCUUUAAAAUUUAUAAGAUAUGUUAAUUAUUAUGUAUUAUAGAAGAAAUCAUGGUUGAUUCAUAAUAAAAAACUAUAACAAUAAUAAAAAUAAUCAAUACCAUUAAAAGAAGAUCAUCAAUGAAACCGAAUUAUACCUUUAAUAAAAUAUUAUUUUAAAGAGAGUUAAAUAAUCACUAAUGGCAAAACAAUCAUUACGUUUUUGGACUUAUAUAAGUAAAGACUAUAUAUUUAACUACACUUCGAAUUGGACUUAUGGGUUUAAAAAAUAUUAUUUACUAUGUCAUUUUAUACAUAAAAUUGAUAUAUCAAUUAUGAGUGUUUAAGAAUAUUUUAAAAAUUACCAUAAAAUUAAAUUUAAAAUUUAAAAUCAAAUUUAAAAUCUGAAAUAAAAAUAUAAACUUAUAAUAGAUUAUUAAUAACGAAAAUAAACUAAUAAUGUCAUAUCAAAGGUUUUUUACAUUAUCAUUUUUAUUUAGGUGACAUAAUAAAUUUUUAUCAAAAUCUAAGGAAUCACAAGUUUAAAUAAUAUUAAAAAGGUUAUGAAAAAUUUAAUCAAAAACUUUUAAAAAUAUUAUUAGAUAUUUGGUGUUUUCAUUGGAUCACUGAUAUCAGAUCGCGGGUUAAUAGCGAAUUUUUGGGUUUUACCGGGUUCUAUCAAAUUUUUAAUUAAAGAUUUUUUUCAUUAAAUCCAAACCAAGUUAUAUACAACGUACUGGGUCUACGGUUCGACAACGGAUAUGGGUCGGAUAUGAAAAAAAUUCUUGAAACUAAAGUUAUUAUAGAACAACUUUUAAAUUAUUUGUUUUCUUAUAAAUGAAAAAACAAACCCGCGUUUUUUAAGCGCGGGUCAAAAUCUAGUAUAUUAUUAAAAGAUAAUCAUCCCCAAAAAUAUACUUAAAAAAGUUGUUGCACCUAUUAGUAACUAAUUAUUAUUUUUGGUACUACCUUAUAUUUUUCUAACUAUAUCAUAAUAAAUGUUGUUAUUUGUUUUUUUUUUUAAUUUUUUGCCUUCUAAUACACACCUAAUCUUGAUAAAUCCGAUAUCCAAUAUCAAAGCAAAUUAAUUGAAAUCAGUGAGUUAUAAUUUGUGCUCGGUUUGGUAUAAUUAAUUUUGAAAUUAAUAUAUAUCUUUACCAACACGUUCUUAUAUCUUGCCUCAUUUACAGACAGUGUCACAUUAUAAUAUCGAAAACAUAAAUCUAUAUACACUGUCAUAUAGCAUAUAAUAAAAAUUCAUGUGUAUCACAUGUCACUGAUAUCCUAUCAAUCAUUCUACUCUAAACCCUUAUUCAAAGUCUAAAAAUUUACUAACUUUGUAAAGGAACCAUAAUACAUAUUGUAUUUUCAUAUAUAUUUUAUAGAACUCAAAGAUUAAGAUAUAAAGAACACUCUUCUUUAUUAAGCUUUAGAAAACUCACUCAAAAACUAAAGCUCUUAAUCACACAACUCAUGACUAAUGCAACCACAUAUAAAACUCUUUAUAUAGAACUAUAUAACUCCUAAUCCUAUUUGAAAAAAAUAUUUAGAUAUUUCCUUAAUCCUUUAGAUAACCAUAAGUUGGUAGGAUUAAGUUGACUUCCUCCUCAAGUCACUUCAAGCUUAUCCUAACAUUCUCCCCCUUAAGCUUGAACUCUUCUUCACUCACAUCUUGAACUCUAAUAAGACUUCUCAUUUCGUUGAAUUUGAUUCUUCCGAGAGGCUUGGUUAGUAUAUCGGCCUUCUGUUCGGUCCCAGGAACAUGUUCAACUUCAACUUGCACUACAAGAAAACGUAUCUUUACCGAGGAAGUUUAACGAGGAAAAAUAAUCCUCGUAAAGAAACGUUGAUUUUGCGAGGAAAGUACGUUGGGAAAGAAAAGCAUCGUUAUUUCGUCGUAAGGUAACGACAAAAAAUAUUCGUCGUAAAGACGAUGUAAAUUGACGUGGCUUUUACGAGGAAAUAGUUUUUCUUCGUAAAAGCCACGUAAAUUUCGCGAGUGCUUUACGACGAAAUAUUUUACGUGUACUUAACGAGGAAAUUUUGAAUCCACCAACUUGGUAGGUGGCUCACGUUUUUUUUUGGCCAUACAAUUAAUUUUCGUCGUAAUUUCAUAGUAAAAUUACAACUACCAGAUUCGAAAUUUUCUAUAAAUAUGGAUGUUGGAACAUCAUUUUAAACACACCAACAACAAAAAACGUGAAAGAAAAAAAAAUGGCUGGCUCUGGGACUAUUUACGAGUUGCGGAAUUGGAUGCAUAUACAUAGAGAUGCUAACGGGAGAGUGACGAAAGAAUACCUUGCGGGGCUGGAGACAUUUAUGCACCAAGCAGAUUCAACACCGCUCGCCCAAGAAAGUGGUAAGAUGUUCUGUCCUUGUCGGAAAUGCAACAAUUCGAAAUUGGCAAACCGUGAAAAUGUUUGGAAGCAUUUAAUAAAUAGAGGUUUCACGCCAAAUUACUAUAUCUGGUUUCAACAUGGGGAAGGUUAUAAUUAUGAUCAGAAUGAAGCUAGUAGUAGUAAUAGCAAUUUUCAGGAAGAACCGGUUAAUCAUCAUUUGCAUAAUGAACAUAGUUACCAUCAGGAGGAGAUGGUAGAUUAUGAUAGGGUUCAUGAUAUGGUAGCUGAUGCAUUCGUAGCUCAUGAUGAAGAUGAAGAACCUAAUAUAGAUGCAAAAAAGUUUUACGGAAUGUUAAACGCGGCGAAUCAACCACUUUACAGUGGUUGUAGAGAAGGUCUCUCUAAAUUGUCGUUGGCUGCUAGAAUGAUGAAUAUUAAAACUGAUCACAAUCUACCUGAAAGUUGCAUGAACGAAUGGGCGGACUUGUUUAAAGAGUAUUUGCCGGAAGACAAUGUGUCUGCUGAUUCUUAUUAUGAGAUUCAGAAAUUAGUUUAUAGUCUUGGGUUGCCUUCGGAGAUGAUAGAUGUCUGCAUCGACAACUGCAUUAUCUAUUGGGGAGAUGAUGAGAAGCUAGAAGUAUGUCGAUUCUGCAAGAAGCCACGAUUCAAACCGCAAGGACGGGGACGUAAUAGGGUACCGUACCAAAGGAUGUGGUACCUACCAAUUACAGACAGAUUGAAAAGAUUGUAUCAAUCAGAGCAGACUGCUGCAAAGAUGAGAUGGCAUGCCGAGCAUACUCAGACGGAUGGUGAGAUGACUCAUCCAUCAGAUGCAAGAGCCUGGAAACAUUUCAACAAAGUACAUCCGGAUUUUGCUAGCAAUAGCCGGAAUGUGUAUCUCGGAUUAUGCACAGAUGGAUUUAGUCCGUUCGGAAUGUCAGGGAGACAAUAUUCAUUGUGGCCAGUCUUUCUUACGCCAUACAACCUGCCACCGGAGAUGUGCAUGCAACGGGAGUUGCUAUUCUUGACGAUAUUGAUACCUGGUCCGAACCAUCCAAAAAGGUCCCUGGAUGUUUUCCUACAACCACUGAUAAAAGAGUUGAAGGAUUUGUGGUCAACAGGGGUGAGGACGUAUGACUGUUCAACGAAGACGAAUUUUACGAUGCGAGCUAUGCUUUUGUGGACCAUAAGUGACUUUCCUGCAUAUGGGAUGUUGUCUGGAUGGACUACACAUGGAAGAUUAGCUUGUCCAUAUUGUAAUGGAACGACAGAUGCGUUUCAACUGAAGAAUGGUAGGAAGACAAGUUGGUUUGAUUGUCAUCGUCGAUUUCUUCCCAUUGGCCAUCCUUACCGAAGAAACAAGAAUUUGUUUAGGCACAAAAGGGUUGUGAGAGACACUUCUCCACCAUAUCUAACUGGAGAACAAAUUGAAGCACAAAUCGACUACUACGGAGCUAACGAAACAGUUCGUUGGGGUGGUAAUUGGCAUGUCCCUCGUAAUAUGCCUGAUUCUUACGGUGUUCAUCACAACUGGCACAAGAAGAGUAUAUUUUGGGAGUUGCCAUAUUGGAAGGAUCUUCUUCUGCGACACAACCUCGAUGUGAUGCAUAUAGAGAAGAAUUUCUUUGAGAACAUCAUGAAUACAAUAUUGAAUGUCCCAGGGAAGACAAAAGACAACAUAAAAUCGAGGUUAGACUUGCCGGAUAUUUGCUCAAGAAGCGAGUUACAUAUUAAAAGCAAUGGACAAGUUCCUGUUCCGAUAUUCAGACUGUCUUCAGAAAAAAAGUCGGUGUUGUUCAACUGGGUGGCAUCAGAAGUGAAGUUCCCCGAUGGGUAUGUUUCAAGUCGUUUAGACCCGUCGUCUUCUUCAGCUCCCGGUUCUUCGGGUCAGGAGACUGUCCCCGAGACUCAGUACACUCAGAGAGUCAUUGGAUCUCCUUCUUCUAGUGCACCAUCGGUUCUUCACGUGCCUCCCCAGAUGCCUCCUCCUCCUGUGCCUCCUACGAUGCCGGCACCUCCGAUACCCGCGGGCGAGAUUCAUCCCGAUUUGAUGGUGCCUCCGAGUGCUCCUUACUCGCAGUACACCGUAGAGGACAUUCUCCGUCUACCAGGCAGAGAAGGUUUACCAGUCAUCGACCCCGACCGACCGGACGGAACUUUAUGGUAUGUUUCAUUAUUUUUUUAUUCUUUUUAAAUUCUUUUAUAACUUUAAAAAAUAAUUUAUAUUUUAAAUUUGUAUUUUUCAGGUGGGGGAUUGACAAUUGUCUUGCAUCGGACGUAACCGAUACGAUAAAAGGUUACUUCUCCAUGGCACAUCCGAACUGGAAAAUGACGCCCCACUACGUCAGAAAGACGUGGUUCAAAAUUUACGCUGUAAGUUCUAUUAAUUAAAUAUAUAUCUUUAAAUUUUUUUAUUAUUUAUAUAUAUAUUUUUUCUGAAAAACUAAUUAUAAAUUAUUUUUUCCAACAGCAAAAAUAUAAUUGGGCCUUGGGGAUCACUGAGAGGGUGAGAAAGAAGUUUGAAGCGAAGGCGAAAGUUCGCUUGUUGGACACGGUCUCCAACUGGAAGGGUGACUGGAUCGUGAAGGGGUAUGAGCGUGGCAAACCCGCUGAGCUCACCACGGAUGUCUGGGAUGGCCUCAUCCGAUAUUGGCGUCUUCCUGAUUCCAUUAGAAUCGCCCAGUCUUGCUCUAACUCCCGUAACACAGUCGAUGAGCACGGGAACGGGCCGAUGCUUCACACUACGGGCCAAAAACCCCACGCCGGUGUCCGUUUGGAAAUGGUAAUUAAAAAUUUAAUUAUAUUAAAUUUUUAGUAUAUUUUUAUAUAUAUUCUAAUUAACAACUUUCUUAAAUGUUUUUUUAGGCCAAAGAGACGGGAGAAUUCCCGUCUCUUAUGCAACUUUACGAGAGGACCCACAAGAACAAGGCGGGCCGAUUUAUAGAUGGCAAGUCCGAGCAAAUCUACAACGAUUUGGCUGCUCGGGUUGAAGAACGCCAGACCCAGCUGACCCAACAGUCCACCGAUGGAUUACCCGUCACCUUAUCCACACCUGAAGUGGAUAAGCUUUACGAGGAGGUAAAUUUUCUAAAAUUUUAAUUUUUUUAAAUAUUCAUUUAAUUUAACUUUAAAUUUUUACUAACAAAAUUUAUUUUUUGUUUUUAAGGUUGUCCCUAAAAAAAAGGGACGGACGUUGGGGAUUGGUUCCGUCAACGAUGUUCCGAGAGCGACAUCGUCUUAUGUUCAGCGACGGGAUGAGGAAGUCUCUCAGCUGCGUAGGGAGUCCGAAGAGCUGCGUAGAGAGUCUACUCAGCUGCGUAUAGAGUCUACUCAGCUGCGAUCUCGUAUGGGUGGACUCGAGGGCUUCUUGGACGUUGUAGCGGCCACAAAUCCGGAAUGGGCGACUUUGUUGAGGACCAUGCGACAACAAAAUCCUAUCCCAGGCCAGUCACCGACCGACGACUCACAUGCCGAGGCGGAUGUUCAGGCGAGGAGUGAUGAAUUCUACGAGGCGAUUAAUUAACGACCACCCUUAGUUCUUUUUAAUUUCGGUUAUUGUAUUAUGAAUUCAAAACUUAUUUAUAUAUAAAAUAUUUUGGUUUUGAUUUUUUUAGAAUUUUAAUUUUAUUAAUAAUUUAAAUAAUUUAAAUUAUAUUUAUAAUUAUUAUUUUUUAUAUUUCUAUAAAAUAAUGAAACGAAGUAAAUUCGUAGCUAAUUUUGCGGCUUCUUUACGUGGAAGCUUAACGUGGUUUUUACGAGGAAACAUUUACAUGGAAAUAACGUGGAAAUCUAUCAAGGUUUUUACGUUUUCUUUACGUGGAAAGCUCUCAAGGUCUUUACGUUAAUUUUACGAGUAUUUAUUUACGUGGGUUUUACGAGGAAAGCUUUUCGUGGUAUUUACGAGGAAACUUAGCGACGUCAUUACGUGGAAUCUUUACGUGGUCUUUACGACGAAAUAUCCUCCUUCGCUUUUACGACGAAAUUAUUUCCUCGCUAACUUACGACGAAUUAGCGAGGAUAUAUGCGUUACGACAAACGUAUAACGACGAAACGGGUUUCCUCGCUAAUUCGUCGUAACACUGCUUUUACGACGAAGUAACGAGGAAAACUGCCCUCGUAAAACUUGUGUUUUCUUGUAGUGUUGCUCGUUCUCGACACAUUCUCAUAUGAAGUGGAACCUUCUAUGACUAUGCUUACUUCUACCAUGAAACACAUGAUUAUUUGUGAGAGUGAUUGCAGAUUUAUUAUCAAGUCGUAUAGUCACCUUCUGGCAAUCCUUUCCAACGACUUCAGCCAGGAGUUCUUGGAGCCAAAUAGCCUGUUUAGCAGCCUUAGUUUCUGCCAUAAAUUCAGCCUCACAGGAUGUAGAGCAACAAUCUCUUGCUUCUGAGAACACCAAGUGAUAGGGUUUUUAUCAAGAUAGAAAACGUGCCCAGCGUGCUCUUGCCAUCAUCAUUAUCAACAUUGUGUGAGCUAUCACUAUAACCCACCAAAUCCGCAAUUCCUCCACCGGAAAACACAAGACCAAGAUCACAUGUUCCAUGUAAAUGCCUUAGGACUUGCUUCAGUGCCGCGCGGUGUGACUCUUUGGGCUCCUGCAUAUAUCUACUAAGUACUCCCACACUGAAUGAUAGGUCAGGCCGCGUAUGUAGUAAAUAACGUAGACACCCAAUUCCUCUCUUAAACUCGCCUUCAUCAAUAUUUCGUUCAUCGGGUGCUUUUGACAGAUUCACAUUCAAUUCCAUCGGCACAUGUGAUAGUUUGCAAGCGCUUAACCCGACCUCUUCAAGUAUAUUUCGUGCAUACCUCGCCUGUGUCAGCAUAAUUCCUCCUUUAUACUGAUGUACUUCUAUUCCCAGAUAAUAGGUUAACUGCCCGAGAUCACUCAUCUCGAACUUACUCUAGAUGUCCUUCUUAAACUCGUAUAUCAGCUCAAGCGAUGAUCCUGUAACCAGCAGAUCAUCUACAUACACCACGAGGUCCACGACAACAAGAAGACCUCCCUUAUCUUCUCUUCUGUAUAAUGAAGGCUCCUUAGAACACUUGUGAAACCUCAAACCACGAAGAAUACUGUUUAGUUUAGCAUUCCAUGCCCUAGGGGCUUGUUUCAAACCGUAAAGAGCUUUCCUCAGUUUAUGAAAUUUGUGUUCUUCUCCUGCGACGAUGAAAUCUUCUGGUUGAGCAACAAAUACAUCUUCUCUUAAUUUCCCAUGAAGAAACGCGGUUUUAACAUCAAGAUGAUGUACUUCCCAUGACUUAAAAGCUGCAAGCGCAAUGAUCAAGCGGAUUGUCUCAACACGAGCUACCGGAGCGAAUACUUCAUCAUAGUCAAUGCUGUGUUUUUGAACAUAUUCUUUUUCUACUAACCGCGCUUUGUAUUUGCUGAUGCUACCGUCUGCGUUUCUUUUUAUUUUGAAUAUCCACUUGAGACCAAUAGGUUUUACGCUUGUGGGCAGCUCGACGAGGUCCCAAGUUUUAUUCUUUUCGAUUGACCCAAAACUUUAUUUCUUUAGCUUCGUUGAAAUCUCAAGGUUCGUCAUUGAUGAUCAUCAACAAUCGUUCACCCUCUGCUUCUGUGACCAAUACAUAGUCAUUAAGAUACAUAGGUUUUGUAGUGACUCUGUUCGAUUGUCUUAGUUGGGGUUGUGCUUCAUCUUCUAGUUCAUGAUAAUCGCCACUAUCUUCUUUUUGAUCGUUACCAUCGUUAUGAAGUUGAUCAUCUCCGAUAUCUACAUCAUUCUAGGUGAUAGCAGAAGAACUACCGCUAUUGCUUGAACCUCUUAACGCAACUGUAAACUCUCCUUUCUGAUCAUGUCUUACAUUCGUCACGGGAUCACUCCAAUUCCAUUCUUUUUCUUCGAGGAAGAGAACGUCCCGACUAACCAUGAUCCGUUUGCUUACUGGAUCCAAUAAACGAUAUGCCUUGGAACCAGGUUCCGUUCCUAGGUGCACCAGUGCCCUUGGUCUAUCAUCAAGCUUAUUUCUCCCUACAGCUUCUGUUCUCGCAUAACACACGCAUCCAAACACUUUUAAGUGUUUAAGGUUUGGAUUUCGACUUCUUAAGGCUUCGUAAGGAGUCAUCCCUUCAAGUGACCUAGUCGCAACCCUAUUGAUCAGGUAAGUGGCGUGUCGAGUCGCUUCUCCCCACAGAUAAUUUGGUAGGCUCAUGUGUUUUAGGAAGCUUCUCAUCAUCUCCAAUAAAGUUCGGUUUCGUCGUUCCACCACCUCAUUCUGCUGAGGAGAAUAAGGUACAGUUAAGUGUCUUUUUAUGACGUUUUUAUCACAAUAAUCUUGGAACUCGUGAGAUAUGAAUUCACCGCUCCUAUCCGUCUUGAAAGUUUUGAUCUCGGUUUCAGUUUCUUGUUCAGCAAUCACCUUGAAUCUUUUGAAUUUUUCAAAAGCCUCACUCUUUUCUUUAAUCAAGAUUGUCCACAUAUAGCGUGAGUAGUCAGAGAACAAAUACAUAUUUCUUAUGUGAUGGUGUGGAGGGUGUAAUAGGUCUGCACAAGUCGUUCAAAUGUGUAAUAACAUUGUUCAACUUUUUUAAAGGAAAAAACAAAUUGCAACUAAUUUUACUUCCAAAAUUUAAUGUAAUUAAUUUUACUUCCAAAAUUCAAAUAUAUUGUACAUUUAGUACACAUAUGAGUUAUACAGUACACCUUAUUAUUAUUUUUUGCAUAAAAGUUUAUCAUAUUGUACAUUUAGUACACAUAUGACUAUAUGAGUUAUACAAUACACCAAAUCUUCUAUUCAAGAUUUUAACAAUGCAACUUUAAAAUAUAUAGCUUAGUUUCGUGUUGUCUAGUGAAAAAAAAACAUAAUAAAAUUAUGUAUCAAUUUUAUUGGCAAAGCCAAACAAUUAGAGUGUAGUGGGGUAAUCAUAGUUUAGGUUUCUUGUUCCAUGAAACAAAGUGCAUGUGUUAGAGAGAAGUAAGAGAGAGACAUCUCUGAUAAUACCGCAGUCUUCUUGAACAAACAACUAGCUCACCAAUCACAACUCUGAUUUUAUUCUCUUUGUUCGCUUAAAGCCUGCCUCUUUAGCUCUAUUGAAUCUUUGAUAUUCUUUGGAUCUUUAUUUGAUCAUAUCAUUUCCGACUAAUUAAGUAUAUAAUAUGCCAGUCCACAUUCUGAGGUACGCCACAAGAAAAGGAGAAAUGGAUGAAAAUAUUAUGCGACAGUUUUGUUUUUGUUAAAUCUACGAUAUUACAGAGUUUAUCUAUUUAUAUGCACACAUCUAUUUCAGUAGAACAAAUUAUUCAGGAGUUCACCUUACGCUAAGCCAUUUUGCUUUCAAGUUAAGUUUUUUCUAGGCUUCUUGUUGAUAUAUACUAUUAUUCUUAUCUUGGCAAAAACAUCAUCUGCUUUAGGAGAGGAACAAACGAAGUAUAUAACCCAAAAUAGGGGAAAGAGAAUAAAGAAAAAGAAGUAGCAAUUGAGUGUUUGGUGUAUCCAGUUGUUUUGUACCUUUCUGAUUUUUGCUUUAAAAAUAUUUUGAGUUAGAGUUUGCUUCUUUGACUGAUCAACUGAAUCUCUCGCUCCCCAAGCCAAAGAAAGAACACAAGAUGUUGCUUUUGAUCAUUGCCAAGAAUUUCACUUCGCAAUUCCCUUUAUCUUUACACUUUUUUUUUCAUUCCUAGCUUAAACAGUACUAGUUCUCCUUAUUUCUAACAUACAAAAGCUCAUAUUUAGUCUUUAUAUUAAAGAAGGCUCAGUAUUUGGUUCUAGUUUCCAGUUCCGAGAGUAGAAAAUGACACUUUUAUAAAACGACAAACAAGUCUCGAUAUUGCUAUUUUCAAGAUGUGCAACUAGAGCAUUUGAAAAUGGUUCCAUUUCUAUUCUCUUAAGAAAUGUAAUUAAUUUUUAAUAAAUAUAUAAAUUGGGUCUUUGGAUAUUUUCUUGAGAUAGCUUUGAAUACAUCAAAUAUACACAUACUUAUAAGAAAUAUGCAAAUGCCUUCGAAUAACUUAGACAUUUCAGUACAAAGUUUCACACGAUCUGAAAUUAUCUAUGUACCAAAAACACAAAAUUCAAGAGCGGAUAGCAUAGCACAUAGUGUCAGGAAGUAACCGUCGUUUGUCGUUCACAUGGAUUAAGAUCUUCCGGAGUGGUUCAUAGAGUCAGUAUGAGUCUGUAGUUGAUGAUAAAAAAAAUAACUCGUCACUUCAGUGAUUUUUAUAAAUUAAAUAACUAUUAGUAUAAUUAUACAUGGUAUUUCACAGAAGAUAUAAACUGUAUGCAAAUGAAUCACAUAUUUCGAGUUGGAUUUGUGUAAGAAAUAUUGUAAUAAACCAUCAAUCUUAAGAUUUUAAAAUGUCAUUUUAGAAUUAACUAAAUUGGGUUACAAUUCAAUACUGUUUUCCACCUUUUGUUUUCUGACCAACUGUAAAAUUCAUAUAAGUAGUAUUAGCUAUAUUUGAGUUCAAAUGGUUCUAAUUAGUAAAAUUAAUUGAACAUAAUUGAAUAUAAUAAUUUAUUUUCCAAAAUAUUGUCACAAUUUUAGCUUUUUAGUGGAUUAGUUGAUUCUUAUAAAAAAAAUUUCAACUCAAAUGGUGAUCUCAAAUAUUACAGGAACGGUUAGUUCAACUAAUUUUUGUUCAAUAUAUAAAAUAAAAAUCGAAAAUUCGUAAUUCUACUAAUUUUUAUCCCUCUAAGAAUACAACCAUUUGAACUCUUCCAUUUGGAAAAAAAAUAAAAAAAGCUCUUCCAUUUGAACUCUUUCAUUGGUUUAGAUGUCCGCGGAAAGAUUGAGUCGGAUGAUUAAAAAGAGCAAUGAGUGAAAGGAGCUUCGUAAUCGGAGAGAGACCAAUUCCUUAGAAGACCGUGACACUGUCAUUCACGUGGGCCUCUUUUGACCAACUCUCCCGACACUAUAUCUACUGGUGGCAUUAAAUAUUAAACUUGGAAUUCUUUAACUUCAUUCAAAUUUCACUGUAUCUUGCUUAAGAAUGUUUAAACUUUUAUAGUUUGCGUUUUGUCACUUUUAUUUGAAACAAACAUAAAAGGAAACAACUCAUUCAAUAAAUUAUAUACAAGUAAAACUUGUUUCCUAAAAAAUAAAAAUAAAAAAUUUGUUUCCUAAGACCAUCUCCAACCCAUUCCUAUUUUUAUCUCUAUAUUUUUCCUUAAAAUAGAAAAACUCUAUUAUAAAUGUGAAAAUGUUCCAAUGUAUGCCUCUAUUUAUAGGAAAAAAUAUAGAGAUAUGCUAUUUUCACCUCUAAAUAUAGAGAUAAAAGUAACUUUCCUCUAUAUUUUCCUUUAAAAUAGAGGAAUUCUAUUAUAGAGUCAUACAUUAGAGUAUUUUUUUUCCUCUAUAAUAGAGAUCUAUAUUUUAGAGAAAAUUAUAGAGGUGUGUAUUGGAGAUGCUCUAAGGUAUUCAAUAAAACUGAAAUGACACAAAUUUUUUAGAUGCUCUAAUUAUUUUGAUAUUUUUUUUUUGAAGAAAUAAAAGGUUAAACCCGGGUCUAUUAAAGAUACAUACCUAAUCUCCGGGUGGGAGGUGCAGCCCACGACAUACCAUCUCCCGGGUUUUCAUAUGGACGUAUCCGCAGUUGUGGUAAGCAGAACAAUGUGACUUAGUUUCCGCAGUAGGAGGAUCGAACCAGGAAUGUAUUUGCAUCCAAGGUCCGUCCACUACCACAGGAUCACAAGGCCCGCUCAAUUAUUUUGAUAUUGAUAUAAAAGUUAUUUGUUUGUGUUGAGGAAAAAAAUCUUACAUAUUUGUUCAGGUUUCAGAUGUUCAUUCAUAAGCAUAAAAUUCCAACAUCGAUUGUUGAAAAAUAGUGAAAUAAAAUAAAAGAAUAAUUUAUUCAUUUUAAUUGUUUUUUGAAAAUAUUUUUAAUUGGUUUUGAGUUAGAAGUUGAUGAUAAACAAAAACUUAACAGUUUGUACCCCAAGAAUGUUAAACUGUUUUGCUGUAAAUAAAAGGUAAGAGUGUUAAACAAAACAUGUAUCUAGUUUUGAAUAUAAGAACUGAAAAAGUGGUGCUCCCACUACUUAACCCGUAGUAUAUUGUUAUUGCUGGAGAGCUUGAGAUUAACUAGUAACCACUGUAGCAUAUUGGCCGCGUGGAAAACAGAGUUACGAAUAAUUUGUUCCGUACCCAAAAGGGCAAGAACUCGAUUAAAAAAAUAUUGAGUUGAUUAGCCCUUGAGAAUAUCCAUUGUAGAAGUGUUGCUUUCUUUAGAUAAAGUAACAAAUAUGUAAUCGUCACUACAAUAGAUUCGAUCAUACCAAUCCCUUUUGUCGUUAAGUUUCCAAAGGGUAUCUAUAUAUAGGUAGCCAUGUCACAGUUUGUACCUUAUACUUACUCACAAAGCAACCAGAAAAAAAAACACACACAUCUCUAAUUUUCUCGCACCCAAAACCUCUAUUUCAUGAUGGGAUACCAAACAAACCCUAAUUUCUCCAUGUUUUUUUCCUUGGAAAAUGACGACCAAAACAAUCAAGAUUAUAAUUCUUAUAACAGUCUCUCUUCAUCAACUUCUGUUGAUUGCACUCUUUCACUUGGAACACCGUCCACUCGUCUAGACGACCACCGCAGAUAUUCUUCCGUUAGUUCUAACAUGUCCGGUGAUUACUUCUAUCACGGAGGAAGCGCUAAAACGACGUCGUACAAGAAGGGCG